GGGGAUUUGGUGCUGGAGCUGGUGCAUGAUGAUGCCUCUUGUGCUUGUGCUUGUGUUUUCUUUUCUUCUUGUGCUUGCCAGGAGCUGGAGCUGGGGAAAGCACUAAUGCUGGUGAUGGGGCUGGUGGUGGAAUAGCUGGUGCUGGUGCUGGAGUGGCUGGUGCUGGUGCUGGUGUUGGCGCUGGUGUUGCUGGUGCUGGUGCAGGUGCAGGUACUUCCUUAGCUGGUGAUGGUGAUGGUGUCUCUUUUGCAGGGGCUGGUGCUGGAGCUGGAGACACUCGUGGUGGAGGUAAGGAAGGCGGUGGUGUAGCUGGUGGUAAAGAAGGCGGUGGUGUAGCUGGUGGUGGUGGCAGUGCUGGUGUUUGUAUUGGAGCUGCAGUUGGAGGACUUUGCAGUGGUUGUGGAGGUGGAACUAUUGGGCUGGUAGCUGGUGCUACUUUAGGAGACG
rnacentral:lncRNA from 1 species